rnacentral:rRNA from 1 species
AACCGGAUUUGAUAUCCUGGUAGUCCCACGCCGUAAACGAUGAGUGCUAAGUGUUAGGGGGUUUCCGCCCCUUAGUGCUGCAGCUAACGCAUUAAGCACUCCGCCUGGGGAGUACGGUCGCAAGACUGAAACUCAAAGGAAUUGACGGGGGCCCGCACAAGCGGUGGAGCAUGUGGUUUAAUUCGAAGCAACGCGAAGAACCUUACCAGGUCUUGACAUCCUCUGACAAUCCUAGAGAUAGGACGUCCCCUUUCGGGGGCAGAGUGACAGGUGGUGCAUGGUUGUCGUCAGCUCGUGUCGUGAGAUGUUGGGUUAAGUCCCGCAACGAGCGCAACCCUUGAUCUUAGUUGCCAGCAUUCAGUUGGGCACUCUAAGGUGACUGCCGGUGACAAACCGGAGGAAGGUGGGGAUGACGUCAAAUCAUCAUGCCCCUUAUGACCUGGGCUACACACGUGCUACAAUGGACAGAACAAAGGGCAGCGAAACCGCGAGGUUAAGCCAAUCCCACAAAUCUGUUCUCAGUUCGGAUCGCAGUCUGCAACUCGACUGCGUGAAGCUGGAAUCGCUAGUAAUCGCGGAUCAGCAUGCCGCCGUGAAUACGUUCCCGGGCCUUGUACACACCGCCCGUCACCCCACGAGAGUUUGAACACCCGAAGUCGGUGAGGUAACCUUUUAGCAGCCAGCCGCCGAAGAGACAAAGG